AUUGAUUGAUGGUGCUUGCACCUGAUUGAUUUUGGUCGCCAACGAGUGGCGGACGGGUGAGUAACACGUAGGUAACCUGCCCAGAAGCGGGGGACAACAUUUGGAAACAGAUGCUAAUACCGCAUAACAGCGUUGUUCGCAUGAACAACGCUUAAAAGAUGGCUUCUCGCUAUCACUUCUGGAUGGACCUGCGGUGCAUUAGCUUGUUGGUGGGGUAACGGCCUACCAAGGCGAUGAUGCAUAGCCGAGUUGAGAGACUGAUCGGCCACAAUGGGACUGAGACACGGCCCAUACUCCUACGGGAGGCAGCAGUAGGGAAUCUUCCACAAUGGGCGCAAGCCUGAUGGAGCAACACCGCGUGAGUGAAGAAGGGUUUCGGCUCGUAAAGCUCUGUUGUUAAAGAAGAACACGUAUGAGAGUAACUGUUCAUACGUUGACGGUAUUUAACCAGAAAGUCACGGCUAACUACGUGCCAGCAGCCGCGGUAAUACGUAGGUGGCAAGCGUUAUCCGGAUUUAUUGGGCGUAAAGAGAGUGCAGGCGGUUUUCUAAGUCUGAUGUGAAAGCCUUCGGCUUAACCGGAGAAGUGCAUCGGAAACUGGAUAACUUGAGUGCAGAAGAGGGUAGUGGAACUCCAUGUGUAGCGGUGGAAUGCGUAGAUAUAUGGAAGAACACCAGUGGCGAAGGCGGCUACCUGGUCUGCAACUGACGCUGAGACUCGAAAGCAUGGGUAGCGAACAGGAUUAGAUACCCUGGUAGUCCAUGCCGUAAACGAUGAGUGCUAGGUGUUGGAGGGUUUCCGCCCUUCAGUGCCGGAGCUAACGCAUUAAGCACUCCGCCUGGGGAGUACGACCGCAAGGUUGAAACUCAAAGGAAUUGACGGGGGCCCGCACAAGCGGUGGAGCAUGUGGUUUAAUUCGAAGCUACGCGAAGAACCUUACCAGGUCUUGACAUCUUGCGCCAACCCUAGAGAUAGGGCGUUUCCUUCGGGAACGCAAUGACAGGUGGUGCAUGGUCGUCGUCAGCUCGUGUCGUGAGAUGUUGGGUUAAGUCCCGCAACGAGCGCAACCCUUGUUACUAGUUGCCAGCAUUAAGUUGGGCACUCUAGUGAGACUGCCGGUGACAAACCGGAGGAAGGUGGGGACGACGUCAGAUCAUCAUGCCCCUUAUGACCUGGGCUACACACGUGCUACAAUGGACGGUACAACGAGUCGCGAACUCGCGAGGGCAAGCAAAUCUCUUAAAACCGUUCUCAGUUCGGACUGCAGGCUGCAACUCGCCUGCACGAAGUCGGAAUCGCUAGUAAUCGCGGAUCAGCAUGCCGCGGUGAAUACGUUCCCGGGCCUUGUACACACCGCCCGUCACACCAUGAGAGUUUGUAACACCCAAAGUCGGUGGGGUAACCUUUUAGGAGCCAGCC
rnacentral:rRNA from 1 species